rnacentral:misc_RNA from 1 species
GUGAAUCAUCGAAUUUUUGAACGCAAAUUGCACUCCCUGGUAUUCCGGGGAGUAUGCCUGUUUGAGGGUCGUUAGAAUCAAAAAUCGAUGCGGCGCUCUUUUUUUGAAGGGUGAUCGCGUCGGAAUUAAGCCGUCUUGCAAAUGUUUAUUCAUGUUAAGGUGUCUUGUAAUUCGUCCAUCCG